rnacentral:rRNA from 1 species
CAGCGCCGCGGGAAUACGAAGGGUGCAAGCGUUACUCGGAAUUACUGGGCGUAAAGCGUGCGUAGGUGGUGGUUUAAGUCCGUUGUGAAAGCCCUGGGCUCAACCUGGGAAUUGCAGUGGAUACUGGGUCACUAGAGUGUGGUAGAGGAUAGUGGAAUUUCCGGUGUAGCAGUGAAAUGCGUAGAGAUCGGAAGGAACAUCUGUGGCGAAGGCGACUAUCUGGGCCAACACUGACACUGAGGCACGAAAGCGUGGGGAGCAAACAGGAUUAGAUACCCCCGUAGUCCCUGUCUCUUAUACA